GACAACUGCUGACUUACCUUAAUACCUUUAUACAUGUGGGUGGCAAUUAUUGAACUGAUUAAUCUUUGUUUCAGACAGCAGAUAUGCCAGUGACAUACUGGAGCAGAUUAGAGCUACA